rnacentral:rRNA from 1 species
GAUGAACGCUGGCGGCGUGCUUAACACAUGCAAGUCGAACGGUGAAGGAGGAGCUUGCUCUUCUGGAUCAGUGGCGAACGGGUGAGUAACACGUGAGCAAUCUGCCCUUGACUCUGGGAUAACAGUUGGAAACAGCUGCUAAUACCGGAUACGAGACGUGACCGCAUGGUCAACGUUUGGAAAGAACUUCGGUCAAGGAUGAGCUCACGGCCUAUCAGCUAGUUGGUGAGGUAAUGGCUCACCAAGGCGACGACGGGUAGCCGGCCUGAGAGGGUGACCGGCCACACUGGGACUGAGACACGGCCCAGACUCCUACGGGAGGCAGCAGUGGGGAAUAUUGCACAAUGGGCGAAAGCCUGAUGCAGCAACGCCGCGUGAGGGACGACGGCCU